GAGCCGGUGAUGAUUAGCUUCGCGUCCUUGAUCCAGCGGCGGACGGGUGAGUAAUGCCUAGGAAUCUGCCUGGUAGUGGGGGAUAACGUCCCGAAAGGGAUGCUAAUACCGCAUACGCCCUACGGGGGAAAGCGGGGGAUCUUCUGUCCUCUUGCUUUCAUAUGAGCCUAUGUCGGAUAAUCUAUUUGGUGGGGUAAAGGCGCCCCCCGGCGACAAUACCUAUCUGGUCUGAGAGGAUGAUCUCCCCCACUGUGGCUGAGACACGGUCCCCACUCCCACAGGAGGCGCCACUGGGGAAAAUUGUACAAUGGGCGAAAACCCGAUCCCCCCCUGCCCCGUGUGUGAAAAAAGUGUUCUGAUUGUGAAGCACUUUUUAUUGGGAGGAAAGGCUCUUUUUUAAUACCUUGCUGUUUUGAGGUUACCACUCGAAUAAUCACCGGCUAACUUCUUGCCGCCAGCCGCCGUGAUACUAAAGGUGCAGGCGUUAAUCGUAAUUAUUGGUGGUAAAGCGCGCUUAGGUGGUUCCUUUUUUGUAUGUGAAAACCCCCGCCUCCACCUGUGGACUGCUUCCUUCAAUACUGAGCUACAAUAGUGUGGAAGAUGAUGGAAUUUCCUGUGGAGCGGUGAAAUGCUGAGAUAUAGAUAUGGAAGAAUACUGAUGGAGAGACCACCUGCACUGAUACUGACACUGAUGUGCGAAAACGUGGGGAGCAAACAAAGAU
rnacentral:rRNA from 1 species